rnacentral:rRNA from 1 species
AACGAACGCUGGCGGCAUGCCUUACACAUGCAAGUCGAACGGUAACAGGUCUUCGGAUGCUGACGAGUGGCGAACGGGUGAGUAAUACAUCGGAACGUGCCUAGUAGUGGGGGAUAACUACUCGAAAGAGUGGCCAAUACCGCAUGAGAUCUACGGAUGAAAGCAGGGGAUCGCAAGACCUUGUGCUACUAGAGCGGCCGAUGGCAGAUUAGGUGGUGGGUGGGAUAAAAGCUUACCAAGCCGACGAUCUGUAGCUGGUCUGAGAGGGCGAUCAGCCACACUGGGACUGAGACACGGCCCAGACUCCUACGGGAGGCAGCAGUGGGGAAUUUUGGACAAUGGGCGAAAGCCUGAUCCAGCAAUGCCGCGUGCAGGAUGAAGGCCUUCGGGUUGUAAACUGCUUUUGUACGGAACGAAAAGCCCCGGGUUAAUACCCUGGGGUCAUGACGGUACCGUAAGAAUAAGCACCGGCUAACUACGUGCCAGCAGCCGCCGUAACAC